AUUGAACGCUGGCGGCAGGCCUAACACAUGCAAGUCGAGCGGAUGAAGGGAGCUUGCUCCCUGAUUUAGCGGCGGACGGGUGAGUAAUGCCUAGGAAUCUGCCUGGUAGUGGGGGGUAACGUUCCGAAAGGAACGCUAAUACCGCAUACGUCCUACGGGAGAAAGCAGGGGACCUUCGGGCCUUGCGCUAUCAGAUGAGCCUAGGUCGGAUUAGCUAGUUGGUGAGGUAAUGGCUCACCAAGGCGACGAUCCGUAACUGGUCUGAGAGGAUGAUCAGUCACACUGGAACUGAGACACGGUCAAGACUCCUACGGGAGGCAGCAGUGGGGAAUAUUGGACAAUGGGCGAAAGCCUGAUCCAGCCAUGCCGCGUGUGUGAAGAAGGUCUUCGGAUUGUAAAGCACUUUAAGUUGGGAGGAAGGGCAGUAAGCUAAUACCUUGCUGUUUUGACGUUACCGACAGAAUAAGCACCGGCUAACUUCGUGCCAGCAGCCGCCGUAACAC
rnacentral:rRNA from 1 species